CCCCGGCACAAGCGGUGGAGCAUGUGGUUUAAUUCGAUGCUACGCGAAGAACCUUACCUGGGCUUGACAUCCCGGGAAUCCUCCAGAGAUGGAAGAGUGCCCUUCGGUACAUCGGUGACAGGUGGUGCAUGGUUGUCGUCAGCUCGUGUCGUGAGAUGUUGGGUUAAGUCCCGCAACGAGCGCAACCCCUAUUGUUAGUUGCCAUCAUUCAGUUGGGCACUCUAGCGAGACUGCCGGUAAUAAACCGGAGGAAGGUGGGGAUGACGUCAAAUCAUCAUGCCCCUUAUGACCUGGGCUACACACGUGCUACAAUGGUUGGUACAACGAGUUGCGAGUCGGUGACGGCGAGCUAAUCUCUUAAAGCCAAUCUCAGUUCGGAUUGUAGGCUGCAACUCGCCUACAUGAAGUCGGAAUCGCUAGUAAUCGCGGAUCAGCACGCCGCGGUCGAAUACGUUCCCGGGCCUU
rnacentral:rRNA from 1 species